UACGAAGGGUGCAAGCGUUAAUCGGAAUUACUGGGCGUAAAGCGUGCGUAGGCGGUGAGUUAAGUCUGUCGUGAAAUCCCCGGGCUCAACCUGGGAAUGGCGAUGGAUACUGGCUCGCUAGAGUGUGAUAGAGGAUGGUGGAAUUCCCGGUGUAGCGGUGAAAUGCGUAGAGAUCGGGAGGAACACCUGUGGCGAAGGCGGCCCCCUGGGCCGGCCCUGACACUGAGACGCGAAGGCGUGGGGAGCGAACGGG
rnacentral:rRNA from 1 species